rnacentral:rRNA from 1 species
GAUAAACGCUAGCGGCAGGCUUAACACAUGCAAGUCGAGGGGCAGCAUAGAUUGUAGCAAUACAAUUGGUGGCGACCGGCGCACGGGUGCGUAACGCGUAUGCAACCUACCCGUCACAGGGGGCUAAUCCGGAGAAAUCUGGUCUAAUACCCCAUAACAUAUGGAUCGGCAUCGGUUCAUGUUGAAAUUUUCGGAGGUGACGGAUGGGCAUGCGUAGCAUUAGCUUGUUGGUGAGGUAACGGCUCACCAAGGCGGCGAUGCUUAGGGGGACUGAGAGGUUUUCCCCCCACACUGGAACUGGGACACGGACCAGACUCCUUCGGGAGGCAGCAGUGAGGAAUAUUGGUCAGUGGGCGCAAGCCUGAACCAGCCAUGCCGCGUGCAGGAUGACGGCUCUAUGAGUUGUAAACUGCUUUUGUACGAGGGUAAAGUGGGUUACGUGUAACCUUUUGAAAGUAUCGUACGAAUAAGGAUCGGCUAACUCCGUGCCAGCCGCCGCAGUAA